rnacentral:rRNA from 1 species
GUGUCAGCAGCCGCGGUAAUACGUAGGGGGCAAGCGUUGUCCGGAAUCAUUGGGCGUAAAGCGCGUGUAGGCGGCCACGUUAGUCCGCUCUGAAAGCCCGGGGCUCAACCCCGGGAGGCGGGUGGAUACUGCGUGGCUCGAGUCCGGAAGAGGCGAGUGGAAUUCCUGGUGUAGCGGUGAAAUGCGCAGAUAUCAGGAGGAACACCAAUGGCGAAGGCAGCUCGCUGGGACGUGACUGACGCUGAGACGCGAAAGCGUGGGGAGCAAACAGGAUUAGAUACCCUGGUAGUCCACGCCGUAAACGAUGAACACUAGGUGUAGGGGGUGUCGACUCCCCCUGUGCCGAAGCUAACGCAUUAAGUGUUCCGCCUGGGGAGUACGGCCGCAAGGCUAAA